CAGCUCCUGGGAUGUUUGCCAGUUGGUCGCGUCCUUGAGCCGUUAGAGAUAACCCAGGAGACUCUGGGGACAGCGUCGGUGUGCAGGCCCAAUCUGAUGGGUAGCCUUAGACGUUGCACAGACCUCCGCCUUGAACCAUAACGGUUCAGGGCAAACCAUCAGCGGCAUUUCCGGGAGCUAU
rnacentral:other from 1 species